CGUGAGACGCCUCUGCCCGGUAGAAGAUACUGGAAGAUCAACUCUAAUUUGUGGCUGCCUUCCCAGCAGUCUCUACUUCAGCAUAUCUGGGAGCCAGAAGCACUCAAGUUUGAUAACUCAAAAGACAGAACAAUCAGUCAAGGGACUCAGCCAGAAGUUCUUCGUGAUUAAAGGGUAGAGGCUACCUUCCAUUCUGCUCAUCUUACACUUCUUGGAAAGGAGACAUUCGGUGAAGAUCACUACUAUUCUCCAAACUUCAUUCGGGACCCUAUUCCUUCCCUGUUGAUGUCAGUGUGUGAAAUUCUAAAUUAUGUCAUGGGUGUAUACGUUCAAAAGCAAUAUAUUUUCAAAUAAACAAAAAAUAUAAUUGGCCAUCACAUAUACCAAAU
rnacentral:lncRNA from 1 species